rnacentral:sRNA from 1 species
AUGUGACUGCGAUUCAAAAUUAAAACCUACGGGGUGUUGACGAAAAUGCGUUGGCGCCGCUCUCCUGAAGCCGGUGCUCCUUUCACGCGUGACCGUUGAGCGGCGCGAGCGGAUCUCCCUCGGCGCCCUCCAC